UCUCCGUAGGUGAACCUGCGGAGGGAUCAUUACAGAGCAUCAUGCCCUUCGGGGUAGAUCUCCCACCCUGUGUAUUAUAUACCUUUUGUUGCUUUGGCGGGCCGCCUCGGCCACCGGCUCCGGCUGGUGCGUGCCCGCCAGAGGACCCCAAACUCUGAAUGUUAGUGUCAUCUGAGUACUAUCUACUAGUUAACACUUUCAACAACGGAUCUCUUGGUUCUGGCAUCGAUGAAAAUCGCAGC
rnacentral:misc_RNA from 1 species